GGUCAUUUAGAGGAAGUAAAAGUCGUAACAAGGUUUCCGUAGGUGAACCUGCGGAAGGAUCAUUACAGAGUUCAUGCCCGAAAGGGUAGACCUCCCACCCUUGUGUAUUAUUACUUUGUUGCUUUGGCGAGCUGCCUCCGGGCCUUGUAUGCUCGCCAGAGAAUACCAAAACUCUUUUUAUUAAUGUCGUCUGAGUACUAUAUAAUAGUUAAAACUUUCAACAACGGAUCUCUUGGUUCUGGCAUCGAUGAAGAACGCAGCGAAAUGCGAUAAGUAAUGUGAAUUGCAGAAUUCAGUGAAUCAUCGAAUCUUUGAACGCACAUUGCGCCCCUUGGUAUUCCGGGGGGCAUGCCUGUUCGAGCGUCAUUUCAACCCUCAAGCUUAGCUUGGUAUUGAGUCUAUGUCAGUAAUGGCAGGCUCUAAAAUCAGUGGCGGCGCCGCUGGGUCCUGAACGUAGUAAUAUCUCUCGUUACAGGUUCUCGGUGUGCUUCUGCCAAAACCCAAAUUUUUCUAKGGUUGACCUCGGAUCAGGUAGGGAUACCCGCUGAACUUAAGCAUAUCAAUAAGCGGAGGA
rnacentral:rRNA from 1 species